rnacentral:misc_RNA from 1 species
CGGGAAGGAAACAACAUUAUGAGGACAAUUCAACGGGAGACAGGAACCUAUAUUUAUUUUGACAAGCAUAGCUUGCUUGUUAGUAUAUUUGGUUCUUUAGACAACGUUGAUAGGGCUCGACAGAGAUUUAUCGAUUCCCUUCUGGCGCUACAUGAAAAUAAACAACUUGAGGUGCAUCUUCGUGGAGGACAUUUGCCUCAUGACCUGAUGAAAAGAGUUGUUCAGACAUUUGGACCAGACCUUAGUGCGCUUAAAGAAAAGGUGCCUGGGGCAGAGUUCUCUCUGAACACAAAGCGCCAUUGCAUCUAUAUGAAUGGUACAAAAGAUAUGAAGCAAAAUGUUGAGGACAUAAUCUCUGAAAUUGCUCAAAGAAGUUUUCCAACUCAAACGACAGGAGAUGAUGCUGACUGUCCUGUUUGCUUGUGUGGACUGGAGGAUCCUUAUAAACUUGAAGCUUGCUGCCAUCUAUUCUGUCGGACAUGCUUGCUAGAGCAGUGCGAGUCUGCAAUCAAAAGCCGGGAAGGUUUCCCCAUAUGCUGUCUUCAUCAAGGUUGUGCGGAACCCAUAUUGCUUGCUGAUUUGAAGUCUUUAUUGUCAAUUGAGAAGUUGGAAGAACUUUUCAGGGCUUCUUUGGGGGCUUUUGUGGCAGCCAAUGGGAGUACCUACCGCUUUUGCCCCUCACCAGACUGCCCUUCAGUUUAUCGCAUUGCAGAUCCCGAUAUGGUUGGUGCACCUUUUGCCUGUGGUGCAUGCUAUGUGGAGACAUGUACGAGUUGCCACAUGGAGUAUCAUCCUUACCUCUCAUGUGAGAUGUACCAGAAAGUUAAAAACGACCCAGAUUGCUCUCUAGAGGAAUGGUCCAAGGGGAAAGAGAACGUAAAGAAAUGUCCCGUUUGCAGAUGUACAAUUGAGAAGGUGGAUGGCUGCAAUCAUAUCGAGUGUAAGUGUGGGAAUCAUGUUUGCUGGGUUUGCUUGCGCUUCUUUGACACCAGUGAUAAUUGCUAUGAUCAUUUGAGGUCUGUUCACCGAUCCAUUACAUGAGAAAUAGGAACCGUAGUUUAUGUAAGCGUGUUCAUGUAACAUAUUUGCACCGAGCAUGUAAUCAAG